CACUCGGUAUCAUAUUUCAACACACUUUAAGUCAAUAUCACACCGGAAUUCUCCUUUAAGCAUAUUUUGUCAUUUGUAUUUUGCAUGAUGGAACACAUCAAAUGUAGUUUGUAACAAAAUACUUUGGGGGAUUAUAUUAUUUCACAUGCUUAAAAAUGUAAACAUUAAAACUUAAAUCUGUAUUUUUUCUCUCAAAUAAGCCCAAAUUGAAUCACUCAGUUAACUACCUUUAACCAUGACAAUAGGCUAUGCUUAUCAUCAUAGUAAAAUAUGUUGCCAUAUUUUUUGAUGUUGGUAAUGACAAUGUCCAGGUUAGAUGCACGACUAUCAUGUGACACAGCCUGUAGACCGACUUAUUUGUUUUUUUAUCUUCAUUUCAAAUUGUCAUUUUGUCCCGUAUACUGUCAACAAAGGUCAACCAUGUUACAUUUGUUUUUUUUUAUCUUCAUUUUGUCCCAUACACUGUCAACACAGGUCAACCAUGUUACAUUUGUUUGAAAUGCAGUUUUGAUUAAAAAAAAACCUUGUGUAAGGUCUUCAU